rnacentral:rRNA from 1 species
GUGGAUUAGAUACCCUGGUAGUCCACGCCGUAAACGAUGUCGACUAGCCGUUGGCCUCCUUGAGGGGUUAGUGGCGCAGCUAACGCGAUAAGUCGACCGCCUGGGGAGUACGGCCGCAAGGUUAAAACUCAAAUGAAUUGACGGGGGCCCGCACAAGCGGUGGAGCAUGUGGUUUAAUUCGACGCAACGCGAAGAACCUUACCUACUCUUGACAUCCAGAUGACCUCGUAGAGAUAUGAGGGUGCCUUCGGGAAAUCUGAGACAGGUGCUGCAUGGUUGUCGUCAACU